CUUUCACCGGAGCUUGCUCCACCGAAAGAAAAAGAGUGGCGAACGGGUGAGUAACACGUGGGUAACCUGCCCAUCAGAAGGGGAUAACACUUGGAAACAGGUGCUAAUACCGUAUAACACUAUUUUCCGCAUGGAAGAAAGUUGAAAGGCGCUUUUGCGUCACUGAUGGAUGGACCCGCGGUGCAUUAGCUAGUUGGUGAGGUAACGGCUCACCAAGGCAACGAUGCAUAGCCGACCUGAGAGGGUGAUCGGCCACACUGGGACUGAGACACGGCCCAGACUCCUACGGGAGGCAGCAGUAGGGAAUCUUCGGCAAUGGACGAAAGUCUGACCGAGCAACGCCGCGUGAGUGAAGAAGGUUUUCGGAUCGUAAAACUCUGUUGUUAGAGAAGAACAAGGAUGAGAGUAAAAUGUUCAUCCCUUGACGGUAUCUAACCAGAAAGCCACGGCUAACUACGUGCCAGCAGCCGCGGUAAUACGUAGGUGGCAAGCGUUGUCCGGAUUUAUUGGGCGUAAAGCGAGCGCAGGCGGUUUCUUAAGUCUGAUGUGAAAGCCCCCGGCUCAACCGGGGAGGGUCAUUGGAAACUGGGAGACUUGAGUG
rnacentral:rRNA from 1 species